GUAAAUAGUAAUUAAUAAUUAGUUAGGUUAACAACAAAUAGUCACAUUAUAAUAUAUAGUCAUCAUAUCUUUUUAGAAUCAAGUCAACGUCUGAGAUUCCAGUCUACUUCUGCGGUCAGUGACCACUUGUCCGGCUUUUGAAAAUAGCCUUUCACAGGGCACUGAUGCAUUUUCGAGCAUCAAUGAAUCCAUGUUUUUUAAACCUGGGAUCUAAUAGUGUAGAUUGAGCUACUAGGACAUCAUCUUCUAACCUUCCAAACCGAAUAAACAAUUGUUUGUUUAAAAUUGCUGCCAUGUUUAAAACUUCUUGGGCACUUAUUUCAGUUGUGAUAUCAUAAAAUAUUUUUAAUAGAUCUUUUGACUUUUCAAGAAUAAUCCAAUCAUUAGGAGUGAGAGGAUUAAUCUGACUAUAAUUUAAAAUAGCUAAAGUGGCAAUAAUUGGCUCUUUAAUUGUUAAGAAUCUAUCAAGCAUAUCAUAAGUGGAGUUCCAACGAGUAGGGCAAUCUUGCUUAAGUUUUAAAAUUGGAGAAUCAGUUUGCUUUUGCAUUUCCUGCAACUUUGCCAAGCCAUGUGAACUCCUUUUAAAAAAUGAUACAAUAUCCUUUACUUUAUCUACAAUGGACUCAAUCACCUCAAUACCAUUAUGUACGAUUAAAUUAAUUGUAUGUGCAAAACACGAUAAUCUCCUCCAAUUGCAUUUAUCAAUAGCAGACUUCAUAUUUGAUGCAUUAUCAGUCACUACUGCAGAUAUUCUAUCAGACAAUCGCCACUCAGCCACAGUAUCUUUCAUAAAUUCAGAAAUGUUAUCAGCGGUAUG